CAAACAUGCAUUUUAUUCCUUGAACAGCCCAAUGCAGCAGACUUUAAUAAAUAAAUAAAUAAAUAAAAGAUCCAAUAGAAAAUUACAAACAGUAAAGUAACAUACAGUGGGAUCCAAAAUCUGAACCUGGGAUUCAAAAUCCAAUUUAAACCUUGAAAUCAAAUAAAGUUUUAGGAACUUUU